AAAAAAAUCGGUACGUCGGUCUACCGAUCAACAUCACUCGCUCGGUGGAAGAUCUUCCCUUUUAUCGU
rnacentral:pre_miRNA from 1 species